rnacentral:lncRNA from 1 species
GGGUAAUCGACUGAAUCCUCCCGAGGGACAUGGACGCCAUGGAGAACCCAGUCCUGGAGCCCAGGGCCGAGCGGAUCGCUCGCUAUAAAGCUGAGAGGAGGCGAGAACUGGCCGAACGCUUUGGCAACAUGGAGGAGCUGCCCUCCAACUGCGUGAGGAGGGAUGGUAGAGAGGGGCCCGACCCAGCGACCGAAGCCCACAGAGGGACUUUGAACUCAGAUGGCCGCAGUGAAAGUGUGAACGGCGGGACGCGAGGGGUUACAAAUGGAUUAGAGGAUCCUGCAGAGUCCAACCCCUUGAGAAGGCAGGGUUCCCCGGACUCUGCCAGCAUGCUGAGUGGGGAGGGGCACCUCGUCCCUCUUGGACUCGAUGCCCCGCAGCUCCACACUCGAGUGUCGGUGGGCCAGUUGAGAAGUGCUCUUCUGCAGCAGAGCGGCAGCGGAGGGCAGUCCGACAAAGUGCUGUUGGACGCGGAGGAAGGGGAGAACUGUAAAGCUGAUGUGAAAACAGACGACAGAGCCAAAAUGAGUGUGGCAGCCAAGAUGUCGUUGUUUAAAGAGCUGGAGAAGUCUGCUGCGCCCGAGGCCUCGGCCUUCCUCAAGCCUCGCUCGGGCAGCCUCUGUCAUGAACGCAAGGUGCGCCGUGGCAACGACCAACGGUUUCUAACUCAGCCAAUCACCUGUGAGGAAAUCGUGGCAAUCAGG